UAAAAAGUCCUAUACAAAAUUUUGGUAAAGUUGCGGCCCGCCAUUUGACUGGUGUUUUUAAUUGCGGCCCCCGGCCUUAUGUAAGUUGGAAACCCCUGGUCUAGAUCUUAGAUACUUCUGUAUGUCUGAUUUGAAAUCUGCAAUCUAUAGUAAUCUAUAGUUAUAUUCUCUCUUCGAUCUAUAGUUUACAUUUUAAUUAUUUUUUGAAUGACAUUUUUUGUCAAAAUGUUUUUAGUUUAAAAACGUUAUAUAUAACAGCAGGUCUAAGAGAUUUGAGGCACAUCAUACGUCAGGACUAAAAUUACAUAACGUAUGUCUGAAAAUGUCGUACGCCGCUAGGGACGCUCCCGUAAUAUGAACUCUUUCUUUGUUUGCUUCUGAACAGGUCAUAUAAUAGGGAGGGGGGAAAGCUCUAACCACAUACAACGAUAUCAUCGAAAAUUGGUUUCUAAACAAUUUUAAUCCUGAUGAUUUGCCUAAACUCUCAUAGAAGUUUGUCUCAACAUUUACGCUGCUCCUGUUAUAUAUAACGGUUUUAAAGAAGAAAAAAAAUAAAUAAAUAAAAAAUAAAAAAAAGAAUAAUAAAAUAAAAUAAAAAUAUAAUUUAAAAAAUUUUUAGCUUUAGGAGCAAAGCUAAUUGCUGAUUUGAAAUCCCCACAACCGAAUUAAGCAAGAUCAAGUAUUUGCAUAAAUGUGACAAAAACUUUCUUCCUCGAUGUAAACGAAAGUUAGAAUCCUUUUUAUCACUCUUCAGUUAAUGUGAAAUGGAAAGUUAUAAUCGAUGGAGCGUUAAAGUGUGCCUGUUAUCACUCUUAUGAUAAAACUGUUGAUAAUCUGUUGAAACCUUAUCUUUUUUGAGAAAAUUUUAAAUUGCAUUCGUUUUAAGAUGUCAAGAAAAACAGAAGAAACCUAAAGUGAAAUUUAAAAGAAAAAAUUUACAUGGUAUUCAUUAAGUUGGAGGAGUACUGAUUUUCAUAUUUCAGUUUAGCAACUGUUUUAAUAAUCACACUGUGAUCUUAACAUUCAUAAAAAAAACCUGAAGGAUCCCGAACUAUAGAAAAACCAAC